rnacentral:rRNA from 1 species
UACGUAGGGUGCGAGCGUUUGUCCGGAAUUACUGGGCGUAAAGAGCUCGUAGGUGGUUUGUCGCGUUGUUCGUGAAAACCGGGGGCUUAACCCUCGGCGUGCGGGCGAUACGGGCAGACUGGAGUGAUGGUAGGGGAGAUCGGAAUUCCUGGUGUAGCGGUGGAAAUGCGCAGAUAUCAGGAGGAACACCGGUGGCGAAGGCGGACUCUGGCGGCGAUACUGACGCUGAGGAGCGAAAGCGUGGGGAGCGAACAGG